AUUGAACGCUGGCGGCAGGCCUAACACAUGCAAGUCGAGCGCGCGGCGGACGGGUGAGUACUGUUUGGGAAACUGCCUGAUGGCGGGGGAUAUCUCCUGGAUAAGCUAUCUAAUACCGCAUACAAUCAGAUUUGCGCAGAUGGGAUUAGCUAGUAGGGGGGGUAAUGGCUCACCUAGGCGACGCUCCCUAGCUGGUCUGAGAGGAUGACCAGCCACACUGGAACUGAGACACGGUCCAGACUCCUACGGGAGGCAGCAGUGGGGAAUAUUGCACAAUGGGCGCAAGCCUGAUGCAGCCAUGCCGCGUGUAUGAAGAAGGCCUUCGGGUUGUAAAGUACUUUCAGCGAGGAGGCGUUACUCGCAGAAGAAGCACCGGCUAACUCCGUGCCAGCAGCCGCGGUAAUUC
rnacentral:rRNA from 1 species